rnacentral:ncRNA from 1 species
UUGGUUCGCACGGAGUUUCCGUGGGAUUAAAAGGGAAUCCAGUGCAAAACUGGAGCUGUUCCCGCAACUGUAAAUGUACGCCAAAUCAGUUUUGGCACCUCUAAAUGAGGGUGUUGUUUACUACAUACCCACUGUCCAUUUUUUUUGGAUGGGAAGGGCGAACAACAUUACAUAAGCCAGGAGACCUGCCAAAUUCA